GCGGCUCCUCAGUCGGCGGCGGCUGCUGCUGCCUGUGGCCCGGGCGGCUGGGAGAAGCGGAGUGUUGGUGAGUGACGCGGCGGAGGUGUAGUUUGACGCGGUGUGUUACGUGGGGGAGAGAAUAAAACUCCAGCGAGAUCCGGGCCGCGAACGAAAGCAGUGACGGAGGCGCUUGUACCACCGGUAACUAAAUGACCAUGGAAUCUGGAGCAGAGAACCAGCAGAGUGGAGAUGCAGCUGUAACAGAAGCUGAAAAUCAACAAAUGACAGUUCAAGCCCAGCCACAGAUUGCCACAUUAGCCCAGGUAUCUAUGCCAGCAGCUCAUGCAACAUCAUCUGCUCCCACCGUAACUUUAGUACAGCUGCCCAAUGGGCAGACAGUUCAAGUCCAUGGAGUUAUUCAGGCGGCCCAACCAUCAGUUAUUCAGUCUCCACAAGUCCAGACAGUUCAGUCUUCCUGUAAGGACUUAAAAAGACUUUUCUUCAGAACACAGAUUUCAACUAUUGCAGAAAGUGAAGAUUCACAGGAAUCAGUGGAUAGCGUAACUGAUUCCCAGAAGCGAAGGGAAAUUCUUUCAAGGAGGCCUUCCUACAGGAAAAUUUUGAAUGACUUAUCUUCUGAUGCACCAGGAGUGCCAAGGAUUGAAGAAGAGAAGUCUGAGGAGGAGACGUCAGCCCCUGCCAUCACCACUGUAACAGUGCCAACUCCAAUUUACCAAACUAGCAGUGGACAGUACAUUGCCAUAACCCAGGGAGGAGCGAUACAGCUGGCUAAUAAUGGUACCGAUGGGGUACAGGGCCUUCAGACAUUAACCAUGACCAAUGCAGCUGCCACCCAGCCGGGUACUACCAUCCUACAGUAUGCACAGACCACUGAUGGACAGCAGAUCUUAGUGCCCAGCAACCAAGUUGUUGUUCAAGCUGCCUCUGGAGAUGUACAGACAUACCAGAUCCGCACAGCACCCACCAGCACCAUCGCCCCUGGAGUUGUCAUGGCAUCCUCCCCCGCACUUCCCGCACAGCCUGCUGAAGAAGCAGCUCGAAAGAGAGAAGUCCGUCUAAUGAAGAACAGGGAAGCUGCUCGUGAGUGUCGUAGAAAGAAGAAAGAGUAUGUGAAAUGUUUAGAAAACAGAGUAGCAGUGCUUGAAAACCAAAACAAGACACUGAUUGAGGAGCUAAAAGCACUUAAGGACCUUUACUGCCACAAAUCAGAUUAAUUUGGGAUUUAAAUUUUCACUUGUUACGGUGGAAUCAAAAUGGACUGGAUUGGCCACAACCAGAAAGACAAAAUAAACAUUUUAUUUUCUAAACAUUUCUUUUUUUUCUAUGCGCAAAACUGCCUGAAAGCAACUACAGAAUUUCAUUCAUUUGUGCUUUUGCAUUAAACUGUGAAUGUUCCAAAACCUGCCUCUACUUCUCCCCUCAAGAAACUUUCAGCGCCAGGAAUCAUGAAGAGACUUCUGCUUUUCAACUCCCACCCUCUCCAAGAAGUAAUAAUUUGUUUACUUGUAAAUUGAUGGGGGAAAUGAGGAAAAUGAAAUUUUUUUAAAUGAUUUCAAGGUUUGUGCUGAGCUCCUUGAUUGCCUUAGGGACAGAAUUACCCUAGCCUCUUGCGCUGAAGUAAUUUGUGGGCCGCAUGCAUAAAGAUGAACAGUUUGUGAAGGAGCAUCAUUCUAAGAAUUGAGUGAUGUAGUCUUUAUAUUUGGACAGUUCACCAGAUUCUCAAGAAGGCUUUCAAACGACUGUAAAGUUUGAUGUUUGUCCUGCUGAGCUAAUGGGGAAACUGAUAGCAUAAAAGUGAUUUUGUAUAACAGCAUAGUAUGUCAUUUUCUAAAUUUGCUUUAACAGAAACCAAGCAAAAGCAAAUCUUUUCACAAACUACAGUUACUUCAAAUUGAGUCAAGUAAAAUUGAACAUUUUGAAUGUCAAAACAAAAAACUGCCUGGUGUAUAGCAAGUUGUCUCUGUAAGUUACCUGUUUUUCUAAAGGUUGAGGCUUUCUGCAGAAUUAGGAAGUUGUGACCCUCUUGGUCCCUAAUGAAUCAAGGCAAUCACAUACGGGUGGGUUUGCAAGUUGUAAAGAACUGGUCCUUUAUUCCUUCAGGAUGAUUGCACUGUUUUGAAGUCAGUUACUUAAUAGGUGAGAAAUGUAUUGUGUUGUUAAGUCUUUAGACCCUUGGAAAGACUUGAAGAUUUUAGUUUAUACAGAUAGAAAUCAGGCAUAUUUUAUGCAAUUUUUUUAAUACAAGAAUUACAAAACAGGUAUUUGUUUUUAAGCUUGUAAUUUUGAGAAUCUUUAUUAAAAUGACAUAAUUUUUAAAAAUCUAGUAGCUAAGAACAUUUAUGGCCACAUUAUCAAUAAUGUUUUUCUCUGCAUAUUGGCUAAAAGGGAAUGAAGAUGUCAUCAUAGGAAUAUGUAUAUAUGCUACUGAUUUGCCUAGAAAAUAGCAAGUUUGGUAUUGCUCAUUUUGCAAAUAUAGGGCCAUGUGGCACUUUUAUCUAUAGGACAGAUUAACUCUAAUAAAAAUGAAGUGGGGAGGGGUUUAUUUUUGAUAUAUUACUAUUAUGAGUUUUCAAGCUUUGAUAGUGUUAAACUGAAAAGUGGUUUAGAAAGGGCUAGAAUCCAAUGUGUUCACAUUAUUAAAAAAAUUGAUAUAAGUUUAAGUUCAUUCUUUUUCAAACCCAAGUACCAUAUUGGCAACCAUAAUAUUGUCAUAGGUGCUCUGUUCAUUUAAAUAUUUGGGAGGGGCUUGGGGAAAUGGCAUUUGUAUAAUAUAUGUGUACAUAUAUAUACAUACAGUAUAUAAUCUAAAGCUCUGAGAGCUCUUAAGUCAGGAAUGCUGAGUAUUAUAGUAUAUUGAAGUCAGAUGAAAUUUUACACUUUUGUGUCUUCUAUUGCAUCCCUUCUGGUAGCUUAAAUGAUGGUAUUACUCCAGCACUCAUGAUUAAUUUUUCAGAUUUUCUUCCAAGAAUUUUAUUUUUUAAUAGUUUUCUUUGGCUUGAUACUUUGAAAUGUUGUAGUCACUUGACUCCCCCCCCCCAAAAAAAAAAAAAAAAAGCAUUUGGUUUUUUUUUUUGUCUCUGGCAGCUAUAACAGUGGUAAGAAUGUUUUGGAAAUAACUUAAAAGGAACCACUGAGUUUUCAAAAAAUCAUCCUGGGGGAGCCAUUUUGGUGUUUUGGUUGAGCAGGGAUUUUUUUUUUUUUGGGGGUGGGGGGGUCCGAAAGUGUGUUUUGACAAUAGGUCAGCAGCAGUGCAAGCAAGUGUCUGAAAGCACAAUACCAGUCAGGCAGGCUGUCCAAUCAGAAGUCAUCUGGCUGAAGUUUAUGUCUG